rnacentral:misc_RNA from 1 species
GAUGAAGAACGCAGCGAAAUGCGAUAAGUAGUGUGAAUUGCAGAAUUCAGUGAAUCAUCGAAUCUUUGAACGCACAUUGCGCCCUUUGGUAUUCCUUAGGGCAUGCCUGUUCGAGCGUCAUUUAAACCUUCAAGCUACGCUUGGUGUUGGGUGACUGUCCGCCUCACGGCGGACUCGCCUCAAAAUUAUUGGCGGCCGGUACAUUGGCUUCGAGCGCAGCAGAAACGCGAACUCGGGCCCGUCGUAUUGGCUCCCAGAAGCUAUCUUCACAAUUUUGACCUCGGAUCAGGUAGGGAUACCCGCUGAACUUAAGCAUAUCAAUAAGCGGAGGA